rnacentral:rRNA from 1 species
AUUGAACGCUGGCGGCAGGCCUAACACAUGCAAGUCGAACGGUAACAGGAAGAAGCUUGCUUCUUUGCUGACGAGUGGCGGACGGGUGAGUAAUGUCUGGGAAACUGCCUGAUGGAGGGGGAUAACUACUGGAAACGGUAGCUAAUACCGCAUAACGUCGCAAGACCAAAGAGGGGGACCUUCGGGCCUCUUGCCAUCGGAUGUGCCCCGAUGGGAUUAGCUAGUAGGUGGGGUAACGGCUCACCCAGGCGACGAUCCCCAGCUGGUCUGAGAGGAGGACCCGCCACACUGGAACCGAGACACGGUCCAGAGUCCCACGGGAGGCAGCGGUGGGGAAUAUUUGACAAUGGGGGCAAGCCUGAGACAGCGCUACCGCGCGGGUGAAGAAGGCCCUCUGGGUUUAAAGCUCUUUUGCUGGGGAAGAAAAGAAGGAGGUUAAAAUCCCGCUGUUCUGACGGGUCCCAGAGAAAAAGCACCGGCUAACUCCGUG